UUAUUUGAAACAGGCUACAACCUACAAUACUGGGUAAAUAUGGAUUUUAAAAAUAAAGUGGGCCUAAGAGCAGCCAUCUUAUAGAAAGCGUUAAAGCUCAACUAUUUUCUUUCCUGAAUCUCAAAAACUAUAUUGAACCCUUUAUCAAUACUGAACUAUUUUAUACUCUUAUAAAAGUCACUAUGCUAGAACUAGUAACAAGAAUUAGCCCUUCUCCAAAAUGCAUACUUAAGCCAAAAUGGACCCCCCAUUGGCAGUUACCGCAAAUGCACCUAUUAUAGUACCUCCCAACUAGACAACUCUAUAACCCUUAGCGUUAACCUGACACCAGAGCAUUACAGGAAAGAUUAAAAGAGAAAGAAGGAAUUCGGCAAAUCUCCGUCCCGCCUGUUUACCAAAAACAUCGCCUCUUGACCAAAUAUAAGAGGUCCAGCCUGCCCACUGACAUAGUUUAACGGCCGCGGUACCCUAACCGUGCGAAGGUAGCAUAAUCACUUGUUCUUUAAAUAAGGACUUGUAUCAACGGCAUCACGAGGACGAUACUGUCUCCUUUCUCCAGUCAGUGAAACUGAUCUCCCCGUGAAGAAGCGGGGAUUGACCU
rnacentral:rRNA from 1 species